UCAAACACUGACCAAGAUAUCAUAUGACGCCAUCAAUGCGCCGACAAGUGAUGGUAGGCUAUAAUCUCGUAUUUUAGUGCACUUUAAUUGAGUUUGAGCGUUAAUCGCUAGUAUUUUAUACUAAUUAUAUAUUUUAUGCCUUGUAGGAGUGAUUCCUAGCUAUGUAGAUAUUUUGGAAUGAAUUCAAGCUAUUAUGGAGCUUUGAAGUCUGAGUAAAAGCAUAAGGAUUAAGUUGGGAUCGUGUUCGGUGAUCAACAAACAAUAGUGCACUUAACGAGAGAAAUGAUGAAUUGAGUAGGACGCCACCCAGGUGAGCGAAUGCGCAAGUCAGGCAGAACAUUGUCCAAAGUGCGCGGCCAUAUGUGCGAGCACACUCCCAGGUGCGCGGCCGCGCACGUCCAACGCCAGAAAAUGUCCUAUUUCGCGUAGAAAAAGGUGUUUUCGCUUGGGCCCGAUCCUACUUGGUAUAUAUACAUGGAAAAAUAUUAUUUUCUAGACUUUUGACAUAUCUAAUACCUAAGGAGUCUAAGGAGGAGUUGGAGCAGUAAAAGCACAAGGAAUUUAUCCUCCAAUCCUCACUCAAGGCAAGAGUUUGGAUCGUUAUAUGUUUUCCUUUACUUUAAACAUACUUGUGAUGAAUUGCUCCAUCUCUAUGGAGUAGUUCUCUUUAGGGUUUGAUGGAUUUGGUGUAUUGAUAUUUGUUUGUGGAUUAUAACUCUAAUUUUUAUGUAUUGAAUAGUUUUGGAUGAUUUAAGUAUUGCAUCUAUAUUCAUAUGUUCAUGUAAUCGAGAGAGGCAUAACUUGUGAUAUCGUUGCAUUCUCUUGUUGGUUGAGUUCAUUAAUUCUUCUUAGUAAUCAAAAGAUGCUAGUUGAAUUAUUGUUUAACCCUAGUUAGGAGGAUAAUCGAGAGAGGUUCUCCUAAAGACCAAUCCACUACGAAUUCUUGCAUAUCUUCAUUGAGCUUAAUUUGUUCAUAUUAUGAGGUUGAGACUUAAUCAAGGGAGGAGUUUCUACUAAACGUUUGAACUAAUAAUUGAGUGAAUUCGAGAGACUCACUUGAAUAUUAGAAGUGAAUUAAGUAGAGUUAAGUCCUAGACAUUUAUCUUGCACCUAUCCAAUCAAUCCCUAUUUUCUCCCAUUGAUAUCUUCCUUGCUUACUCAUGAGUGUCAAGCCUCGAUUGAGGAAGAUUCUGAAUACCUUUUAAUACAAUGGUGUGUCACAAGAUGCAGUUUACUUAAGGGCAUUCCCCUUCACACUCAAAGAUGAUGCAAAAUACUGGCUUCGAAGCUUGCCUAAUAUGACCAGAAAAUUUAUUGAUAAAUAUUUCUCAUCAGCUAAGACGGGCAAGUUUAGAAGAGAAAUCCAUAACCUUUGCCAGAACGAGACUGAAACUGUGUUUGGAGCUUGUGAGAGGUUUAAGGAGAUAGUGCGAAAUUGUCAACAUAACGGAAUUAAACUCUAGAUGAAACUCCAAGAUUUUUGGGAUGGAUUGACACCUGCCUCACGUAGAACAUUGAGUAAUGCAGCUGGAGGCCCGUUGAUGAAGAAGACUCCAGAGGAUAUAGUCACAAUUCUAGAUGAGGUAUGAGAAGACGCAAAUCAGUGGCCCUCUGAGACUGCUGAAAGAAGAAGAUCAACUGGUGUUCACCAAGUUGAUGCUAACACAUCGGUGCAGGUACAACUUGAUGCCAUGGCCAAUGAAAUAAGGAAGCUGACCUUAGCUUCAAUACAUAGUGAUCCCCACACAGCUUGUGAUAUAUGUGGAAGAUGACACCCUACUCAUGAGUGUCAAGCCUCAAUUGAUGAUGUUAAUGCUGUUGGGAAUUAUAACUUUAAUGCAAUGGGCCAGAAGCACCCUAGUUUUUCAUGGAGUUCACCUGGGGGUACUGCAAAUGCAUGGCAACAAAACAACCGUAGAUUUCAGGGACAAGGAGCCUCAGGCUUCCAAAAUCAGUAGAGGCCGCAGUUCCAGCCUCAACAUUUCACUCAGCCUGGGCUAGAAGAUCUAAUAAAGUCCUUCAUUGUCAAGACAGAUGAGAGAUUAGAUGCUCAUGGUGCAGCUGUAAAAGAACUUGGCACAGGGUUGCGAAACUUGGAGAAGCAAGUGGGGCAAAUUACAACUGUAUUGUCUGAGAGAAUCCCAGGUAAUCUGCCAGCUGAUACUGAAAGAAACCCCAAAGAAACAGUGAAUGUUGUGACCUUGAGAAGCGGGUUGAAAGAUCCCACUCCAAUCCAAAAAGAGAUGGUAUCUAAAAAAGAAAGUGGGGAGCAUCUGAAAAAUGAAGUUAAUAAAAAGAAGAAAGGCAAGAAGGGAGCUGAGAAAAAGAAGAAGGAUGAGACUUCGAUAAAGGAGGAUCGGAAUGAGAGCGAGCACAUGCAUGCUCUACUUUUCCCCCAAAAGCUAUGUAGAGAAAAGCUGGACAAGCAGUUUGAGAGAUUUCUAGAUAUGCUGAGACAGGUUAAUGUAAAUUUUCCAUUCACAGAAGUUCUCUCACAAAUGCCAGCUUAUGUCAAAUUCUUGAAGGAGAUCCUUACAAAGAAGAGGAAGAUAGGAGAGACUUCAGUGGUCAAGCUCACAGAGCAUUGCAGUGCAAUCUUGCAAAACAAACUCCCACAAAAGUGUGGAGAUCCAGAGAGUUUUACUAUACCUUAUUUGUUUGGCACCCUUAAUUUUGAUAAGUCUUUGUGUGAUUCUGGUGACUCAAUUACUUUAAUGCCUUUGUCUAUUUACAGGAAGCUGGAGAAUGAGAUUGGAGAGAUUUGGUCUGCACCAAUAUAGUUGCAGCUGGCAGACCAAACAACUAUCAUACCUGAGGGGAUAGUGGAAUAUGUCUUAGUUCAAGUAGAUAAGUUUGUAUUUCCUGUAGAUUUUAUAGUAGUGAAGAUGGAGGAGAAUAAGGAGGUCUCCCUCAUUCCAGGAAGACCAUUCUUAGCGACGGGUAGAGCAAUAUUGGACUUACAUGAUAGAAAACUGAUGCUUAGAGUGGGUGAGGAGACGGUGACGUUCGAGAUGAAUGUAGAGACGGGGGUGAAAAAGGAGAAGCCAGCUGCAAGUGUUGAGUGGAAGGUGAAGAGUUAAAAAAAAGGCUGCAGUUAAUGAACAAGAUAAGUGGGGGGUGUAUCCCAAGAAGGCUAAGAAGAAACUGUGUGCAGGGAUGUGCGCACUAGUUCGGGCGAGAAUAAUGGAGCCCGACUUUGAUUCAGACCCCGACUAGAAAUUCAGGGAAGUUUCCUUUACCUUAUGUUUUUUAAUUGUGUGUCAUGGGGACAUGCCACAACUUUAAGUGUAGGGUGGGGGAUAUUUGUAUGUUUUAUGUAUACUAGUUUUAGUUUGUUUUGCUUUUUAAUAGUUAGAAGAAUUUUUUUUGAAUAAAAUAAAAAACCAUAAAAUUUUAAAAAAUCUUUAAUUUUUCCUGACAAUGAAUAUCAUUUGACAGGUUUCUUGAGGGAGUUAAGUCAAAGGAAAAAGACCAAAAAGAUUUUCUAUUGGUAGGUAGUGUAUUAAAUCCCCCUUGGUUUUUCUUUGUGCAGCGGUUCUUUUCCAAGGGUUUUGUUUGAACUGUGUGUAGUUAGUUUUUAUUUUGUUAGAAGUAGGAAGCCUUGUGUUGUGAGCUGAAUUGAAGGAAAUAUCUCUUGACUUGGUUAUGUCUUGAGAAUAGUGAGCACUUAGUUGUGACGCUUAGACUCAGUUUUUGACUCUUGUAUAAGUAUCUUAAACUGUAUGAUCUUAACUUUGCUUAACUGCUUUGACUAGAGUGUCUUGAUAAUCCAAUAUUGAGUGAGUUAUGUGCCAGGUGUGUGUGGUUUUGCAUAUUCUGUGCAUUGUAUUUGAUGUCUAGAACUUGCCCCUUGUGUUUGCAAAGCAAAAUAGUAGUUCUGUUCAGUCUUGGAAGUGAUAUAGGCAUUUCUUUGUUGAGCCAGUUAUAUGCUUUUACCCACCUAUUUGUUAUGUAUCGUAGUUAACCCCUUUGAGCCUAUAAUCCUGUUCCUUUGGCAACCACAUUACAAGCCUUGCCCAUUUGUUUGAAUUAACCAUCUAUUUGAACCUUGUACCUCUCAUGAGCACCUGAAUUUGUUAUGAACUUUGUAAAAGUUGAAGUGUGGGGUGGUGUGAUGACCCAAAAGGUCAUCUUAUAUUUUAGAACUCGAUUUUGUGCUCUUAAGCCUUAAAAAUCUCAUUGUUACCCUCCUCAAUUUGCGUGCGCAGUCCGGACGUGUUUCAGGAAAACGUUUAUGUUGAAAAUUGAUGAAAAUAAGAAUUUUUGCCUUAAAAAUUGAUUUUAGUGGACUUCAGUCAACAAUUUUGGUAAACAGACCCGGAUCCGUGUUCUGACGGCCCCAGUAGGUCCGUAUCGAAUUAUGGGACCUGAGCGUAUGCCCAGAAUCGAUAUCGGAGGUCCCUAGCUCGAGUUAUGAUUUUGUUUAAUGAAAAUUCAAAGUGAAAAUUAUUUGUUUUUAAGAAUUUAUUGAUGUUUGGCAUUGUUAGUACGGGGUCCGUAUUUUUUGUUCCGGAGCCUGGUACAAGUUCAUUAUAAUAUUUUAGACUUGUGUGUGAAAUUUGGUGAUAAACAGUGUUGAUUUGACGUGAUUAAUACGUCCAAUUGAGAAGAUAAGAAUUUUAAAGUGUUCUUAAGAAUUUCAUUUGAUUUGAUGCUAAAUUCGUAGUUCUAGGUAUUAUUUUGGCGAUUUGAUCACGUGAACAAGUUCGUAUGAUAUUUUUAGACUUGUGUGCAUGUUUGGUUUGGAGCCCCGAGGGCUCGGGUGAGUUUCGGAUAGGCUACGAGAUGUUUAGCCUUUGGAAAAAUCUGGUAUUUUGCUGCAGCAGGUGUUCUGGCAUGUCCUUCUUCGCAUUCGCGAAGGUACUCUCGCGAACGCGAAGAGUAAACUGGUCACCUGGAAUUUUCUUCUUCGCGAACGCGAUGCGAUAGGGGCGUUACCCUUUGCGAACGCAACCAGCUCCUCGCGAACGCGUAGUGUUAUGCAUACCUGGGGGAGAGUCAGUGAUCCUUCAUCGCGAACGCGAGCAUGGUCUCGCGAACGCGAAGACCAUGGGGUAACCAUCGCGAACGCGAAGUAGGUCUCAUGAACGUGAAGGCUUGUAAGCUCUGCUCUUCGCGAACGCGACAGUGGCCUCGCGAACGCGAUGCACACUGUCGCCAAGUGCUUAAAACAUAAUCAAAACGAGAUUUAGCCAAAAAAAAUCAUUUUCUCAAAAACCAAACGGUUAGAGGCGUGUGAUGACCCAAAAUGCCAUCUUUAAAGUUAAUAAUUAAUUCUAUAUUUUAAGACCUCAAAAAGCACUAUUUAUCAUUACUCGACUUGCGUGCGCAGUCCGUAAAAUUUUUCGAAAAUUUUUUAAGUGAAAAAUGGAUUAAAAUAUGAAUUAGAGCUUUAAAACUCAACUGAGUUGACUUUUGUAAAUAUUUUGAGCAAACGGAAUUGGAUCAGUGUUUUGACAGUUUCGGUAGGUCUGUAUGGUGAUUUUGGACUUAGGAGCGUGAUCGAAAUUUUAUUUGGAAGUCCGUAGUGAAAUUACUCUUGAAAUGGCUAAAAUAGUAAUUUAAGUUUGGACCGGGGAGUUGACUUUUUGAUAUCGGGGUCGGAAUCUAGUUUCAAAAAUUUUCAUAGCUCCGGUAUGCCAUUUAUGACUUGUGUGCAAAAUUUGAGGUCAAUCAGACUUGAUUUGAUAGGUUUCGACAUCAAAUGUAGAAGUUAGAAAUUCUUAAGUUUCAUUAAGCUUGAAUUGGGGUGUGAUUUGUGAUUUUAGCAUUGUUUGAUGUGAUUUGAGGUUUCAAAUAAGUUUGUAUGAUGUUUUAGGACUUUUUGGUAUAUUUUGUUGAGGCCUCGAGGGCCUCGGGUGAGUUUCGGAUGGUUAACGGAUCAAGAAUUGAAGCCGGGAAACUGCUGAAGUUGAGUUUGCUGGUUUUUUUUUGGUUGAUCUGGUUUUUCCUUUAUCCGUCAAAAUCGGGGUCCAUGACCGCGGUCCAGGACCGAGGGCCAUGAUCGAGCCCCAUGACCGAGGUCCAGGACCAAGGUACAUGAUCGAGGUGCAUGAUCAAGGUGCAUGAUCGAGGUUCAGGAUCGAAGGCAGCCUGGACAGAUCUGUAAGUUAUAAAACAGGGGACUUCGUCCCAUUUGCCAUUUUUGACGAAUUGGAGCUUGAGGAGAGGUGAUUUUGAUAUAUUUUCAAGGUAAAAUAUUGGGGCAAGUGAUUCUAACUCGGAUUUGGUCAAUAUACAUGAAUAUAUCAUUGUUUUCACCAUUUAAUUUGUGCUUUGAGAUUGAAAUUUUGCGAAACAUUUAGAAAUCUCAUAGAAAUGAAGUUUUGAGAUUCCGGUGUCGAUUCGAAGUCGGAUUUGAGUAAAACUGGUAUGGUUGGACUCGUAAUUGAAUGUGUUAUCGGAUUUUGUGAGUUUCGCCGGAUUUCGAGACGUGGGUCCCACGAGUGAUUUUUGAGCUAAUUCCGGAUUUUAUUGAAAAAUAUAAUAUUUUCUUAUGAAAUUGAUUCCUAUAAUUUUUGUUGACUCUAUCAAAUUAAUUAUGACUAGAUUCGAGUCGAUCGAAGUCGGAAAAUUGAGGAAAAAGCAUACUAGUUGGUUAAAUUGGAGCAAGUCGAGGUAAGUGACUUGUCUAAUCUUGUGUGGGGAAAAUCUCCCCAAAGAUUGGUAUUGAAGUGAUAAAUUGUAAUGUGUUGAAAGUCGUGUACACGGGGUGACGAGUGUGUACACGGAAUAAAUGUGAAAGAUUAUAUUUUUAAAUUGUGUAGAUCACCAUUGCGCAUUAAUUAAACUAUUUUAUUUUAAUAUAUUCUUCAUCAUUGAUUUAAUGUUUAUAUUUUAAAGUUGCUUGACCUUUUCUUACUAAUUGUUUCACCUAUUUAGUUGAAACUUGGUUUCUUUCAUUUUGUGCAUUAUUUGAAGUUGAUUCUCUUUUAAUUAAAUAUUAGUAAUAUGAAGUAUUUGACAUUUUUAAAUUUGGUAUUGAAGUAAUGUAUUAAAGAUUUUAAAAUAUUAUUUUGCUGAAUUAUUUAUUCCUGAAUAUUUUUGUAAGAUUUUCGUACUCAUUGUGAUGGAGCCAUGAGCUCUUUAUUGUGAAAAAAUAUUAUUGAUGAUUUAUGUUGGCAUGAGCUGUGAGCUCUUUAUUGUGGAAAAAUAUUAUUGUUGAAGUAUUUUGGCAAGUUAAAUUAUUUGAGCACUUGAGGUGCAAAUUGUGAUAUAUUGUGAUGUUGAUACGCAUGCGGUGGUAUAAAGUCUGAGUAUUGAAAUUCAAGAGGUGAGAUAAGGGUGGCUUGAUACGCGUGGCUAGUAGGGGGAACUACUAGAAGUCAUGCAGUGUGAUAAGGAUGACUAAACCGAGGGAUGCUAUUUCGGUAAAAAUGUUUUCUUUAAAAUAUAUUGUGAAGGCUCCCGCGGUGAGAUAAGGAAAUGAGAUAUUGUGAAUUUAUUUAUGAUUUGGGACUACGAGACGGUACCUCGGGAGUGCCCUUGCUGAUAUUGAUUUAUGGCCGCAGUUGCCUUUGAUUAUUUGUAGUGAUUUUCUUAAAGUUGAAAGGAAUUCUGUUUUGAUUCCACGAGAUAUUAUUGCCAUUAUUUUGUGUAAUCAAAUGGUGACAUGCUACUUGAUUCAUUUCCAUUGUCAUUUUAUUUUAUUAUAUUGUUAACCAUUUUACCAUGCAAUUAUUAUUUUCCAGUAGGGCCUGACCUGGCCUCGGUACUACUCUACCGAGGUUAGGCUUGGCACUUACUGGGUACCGCUGUGGUGUACUCAUACUACGCUUCUGCACAUAUUUUUGUGCAGAUCCAAGUACUCCUUACCAGCCCCGACAUCAGUGAGUUACCUGUACACGGAGACUUCGAGGUAUAUCUGCCAGCGUCCGCAGACUCCGGAGUCCCCUUCUAUCAUUAUUAUGCUGCUUUCUUAUUUUUUUUAGACCUUGAUAUAUAUAGAGACAUUGAGGAUAAAAUUCUUAGAUGCUUGUGACUUAUUUCUACCAGGUUUUGGGAGUUGCAAUUAUUUAAAGUUUUAGAUUUCUAUUUUUAUUGCGCAUUGAUAGGCUUACCUAGUCUUAGAGACUAGGUGCCAUCACGACAUCCUACGGAGGGAAUUUGGGGUCGUGACAAGGCGAGUUUCAAGAGUCAUUUUCUUUCCCAAAGUGUUGGCAAGUGAUUCUAAACCAUUUUCUUUCAAUUACCCAUUACAUUUCAUGAAUUAUUAACCUAAAAUCUAGAAUUUUUAUGGUAAAAUUAGGGGUUAGGGUAGAAAUUAGGGAUUUCGGAAAUUAGGGGAUUUAGACCUCAAUUUGAGGUCGGAUUCCAAAACCAAUUAUAUAUUUGGGCUCGGAGGUGAAUGAGUAAAUGGAUUUUGGUCUGAACCUCGAGUUUUGACUAAGCGGGCCUAGGGUCGAUUUUUGACUUUUUGGAGAAAAAUUUAAUUUAUGCAAUAUAAUUGAUUCCUUUAGCAAUAUUUGAUAUUAUUGAGUCAUUUUUGAAUAGAUACGAGUGGUUUGGAGGUGAAUUCUAGAGGAAAAGUUGUGAUUGAGAAUUAAGUGGCCUUCGGAACAAGGUAAGUGUUGUGUGUAACCCUGGCUUGAGGGAAUUAGGGACCUUAGACUAUUUGCUAUGUAAAAUUCAUGUGAGUGGCGUAUAUGUGAGGUGACGAGUACUUAUGCGCCGCCAAUUUACCUGUUUUCCAUGUUUCUUCCAUUUUUCUUAUAUUGUCUCUUUCCUAUGCCUAAUUGCUACGUGUUUAUACUAGUAUUGUUAAAUUGAUCGUUCUUAUCAUGUGUACGGAUUAUCUGGUGAUAAUUGAGUAUUUAUUUCAAAGUUGAGAUUGAUAUUGUGGAACCAAAUGUUGAAGUAAGGCUUGUACUUGUUAAUUUAUCUCCAUGUUGUUAUAUAUGCAUUGCAUUAUGGUAAAGGAGAGUGUUAAUGCACGAAGGGUGAUGCCGUGCCAUAUUAUGAGUGUAAAAGCACGAAGGGUGAUGCCGUGCCAUAUUGUUAGUGUAAAAGCACAAAGGGUGAUGCUGUGCCAUAUUGUGAGUGUAAAAGCACGAAGGGUGAUGCCGUGCCAUAUUGUGAGUGUUAAUGCACGAAGGGUGAUGCUGUGCCAUGAUAUGAGAGUUAAUGCACGAAGGGUGAUGCCGUGCCGUUUCUAUUGAUUUUUAUGGUGAGGUUGAGAGUAAAGGCACGAAGGGUGAUGUCGUGCAUUUUUCCUUUAUUGUAUUCGUGUUCCUGUUGAUUCAUUAUAUAUUGGUUGUUCCAGUUAUCAUUCUGCUGUAGUUCUUUAUUUCGUAUUUCCUUCAGCAUGUUUCCCCCUCCCUAUAAUUCCUGUCUAGCUCUUCAUUACUGUUAUUUGUAUAUACAAUGUUAAAUUAUACAAGUUGAUUUGUAGGUGCCUUGCCUUAGCCUCGUUACUACUUCGUCGAGGUUAGGCUCGACACUUACCAGUACAUGGGGUCGAUUGUACUGAUACUGCACUUUGCACUUUCUGUGCAGAUAUUUAGUACCGGCUCAGGUUGAUCGAGAUUUUUGCUGUUGGACCGCUAUCCGGAGACUCAAUGUAGAUCUGUCGGCAUUUACAGACCUUGAAGUCCCCGUCUAUCUUUUCUAUUCUACUAUUUCCUUCAUUCAAACAAUUAUAUUUCUUUUAGGCUAUUAUUUGUAGUGAAUUUUAGAAUGCUCGUGAAUUAGGACUCCAGAUCUGGGUGGUAGUAAUUAAGGCAGUUUUUUUAUAUUAUUCCGCACUCACCAUAUUUCACCUUAGCUAAUGGUUGUUAUUUACUGAAUGGAAUAAGGAUUGGUUUAAA
rnacentral:lncRNA from 1 species